rnacentral:rRNA from 1 species
AUUGAACGCUGGCGGCAUGCCUUACACAUGCAAGUCGAACGGCAGCGGGGGAGAAGCUUGCUUUUCCUGCCGGCGAGUGGCGAACGGGUGAGUAAUACAUCGGAACGUGCCCUGUAGUGGGGGAUAACUAGUCGAAAGAUUAGCUAAUACCGCAUACGACCUGAGGGUGAAAGGGGGGGACCGCAAGGCCUCAUGCUAUAGGAGCGGCCGAUGUCGGAUUAGCUAGUUGGUGGGGUAAAGGCCUACCAAGGCGACGAUCAGUAGCUGGUCUGAGAGGACGAUCAGCCACACUGGGACUGAGACACGGCCCAGACUCCUACGGGAGGCAGCAGUGGGGAAUUUUGGACAAUGGGCGAAAGCCUGAUCCAGCAAUGCCGCGUGUGUGAAGAAGGCCUUCGGGUUGUAAAGCACUUUUGUCCGGAAAGAAAUGGCUCUGGUUAAUACCUGGGGUCGAUGACGGUACCGGAAGAAUAAGGACCGGCUAACUACGUGCCAGCAGCCGCAGUAA